rnacentral:rRNA from 1 species
GUGAGGAAUAUUGCACAAUGGGCGAAAGCCUGAUGCAGCAACGCCGCGUGAGCGAUGAAGGCCUUCGGGUCGUAAAGCUCUUUUGAGGGGGACGAGAUAGGACGGUACCUCUUGAAUAAGUCACGGCUAACUACGUGCCAGCAGCCGCGGUAAAACGUAGGUGGCGAGCGUUAUCCGGAUUCACUGGGCGUAAAGCGAGUGCAGGUGGCUGUGUAAGUUGGAUGUGAAAUUUCCCGGCUUAACCGGGAAGGGUCAUUCAAUACUGCAUGGCUUGAGGGCAAAAGAGGGGGGUGGAAUUGCCGGUGUAGUGGUGAAAUGCGUAGAUAUCGGCAGGAACACCUGUGGCGAAAGCGGCCCCCUGGUUUGCUCCUGACACUCAGACUCGAAAGCUAGGGUAGCGAACGGGAUUAGAAACCCGAGUAGUCC